CAAUAGCGUAUAUUAAAGUUGUUGCAGUUAAAAAGCUCGUAGUUGAAUUUCUGUCAGGAGUGACCGGGCCUUUGGAUGAACUUCCAUUGUUUUUUGCUCUGUUUGUCAUCUCUAGACAUCCUGAAAUAUUUUUUAAAAAUAUUUCUCUUUUACUGUUAGCAAAAUAGAGUGUUCCAAGCAAAGCGUAGUUUUGAAUACAUUAGAAUGGAAUAAUAAGAUAGGACUUUGGUGCUAUUUUGUUGGUUUGCACACCAAGGUAAUGAUUAAUAGGGACAGUUGGGGGUAUUCGUAUUUAAUUGUCAGAGGUGAAAUUCUUGGAUUUAUGAAAGACGAACUACUGCGAAAGCAUUUACCAAGGAUGUUUUCAUUAA
rnacentral:rRNA from 1 species